CUUUCUUCUCUUCCAUACAGCCAUCCUUGCCAUCACGUUCCCGCGCACGUUAGACCCGCGUUCAGCAAGCACUACUCCGUCUACCAUGACGGAGAGUUCCUUGACAUUCCUCGCGAGUGGAUCUCACGACACGGCUACAGGACUCUGGACUCAUGCACGUUGGAGCUUGUCAAUGGACUACAAUGGCCCGUUCAUUUGACCAAGUCCCGGUAUGUCACUUGGUGUUGAUGAAGGAUGGUUGGAGUUCGUUCGUAGCGCACGGAUAAAACCGCAUGAUUUUCUUGUUUUCAUUUACAAUGGUGGUAGCGUUUUCCAAGUUAUGCGAUUCAAUGAUCAAGUGUGGAUGCCGAUUUAAGACCCCACAUGUAUUCAAAGUUUAUAACUAUUAUUAGUUGAAUGGUUUGGUUAUAAGUAAGUUAGAGUCCAAAAUAGAGGUGUUUAUUUUGCAGCCGCAUAAGACCUAGCAAUGCAGCAUCGUCGUGAUGGCGAUACUUCUAAUGAUGAUACGGACAUCGAGCGUUAGAUGUGUCAUUGUAUCUUGGAG